rnacentral:rRNA from 1 species
GACGAACGCUGGCGGCGUGCUUAACACAUGCAAGUCGAACGGAAAGGCCCUGCUUUUGUGGGGUGCUCGAGUGGCGAACGGGUGAGUAACACGUGAGUAACCUGCCCUUGCCUUUGGGAUAACUUCAGGAAACUGGGGCUAAUACCGGAUAGGAGCUCCUGCUGCAUGGUGGGGGUUGGAAAGUUUCGGCGGUUGGUGAUGGACUCGCGGCUUAUCAGCUUGUUGGUGGGGUAGUGGCUUACCAAGGCUUUGACGGGUAGCCGGCCUGAGAGGGUGACCGGCCACAUUGGGACUGAGAUACGGCACAGACUCGUACGGGAGGCAGCAGUGGGGAAUAUUGCACAAUGGGCGGAAGCAUGAUGCAGCAACGCCGCGUGCGGGAUGACGGCCUUCGGGUUGUAAACCGAUUUCGCAUGUGACGAAGCGUGAGUGACGGUAAUGGGUAAAGAAGCACCGGCUAACUACGUG